rnacentral:rRNA from 1 species
AGCAGCCGCGGUAAUUCCAGCUCCAAUAGCGUAUAUUAAAGUUGUUGCAGUUAAAAAGCUCGUAGUCGAAUUUCGGGAUUGGCGUACCGGUCGUGUCUUCGGGCAUGUACUGGUAAUGUUAAUCUCCACCUUCUAGUGAACUAUUAUGCCUUUCACUAGGUGUAAUAGGGAGCUAGGACUGUUACUUUGAAAAAAUUAGAGUGUUUAAAGCAGGCUUUAUGCUUGAAUAGAUUAGCAUGGAAUAACGAAAUAGGACGGCAUGAUUCUAUUUUGUUGGUUUCUAGGAUCACCGUAAUGAUUAAUAGGGAUAGUUGGGGGCAUUAGUAUUCAAUUGUCAGAGGUGAAAUUCUUGGAUUUAUUGAAGACUAACUACUGCGAAAGCAUUUGCCAAGGAUGUUUUCAUUAAUCAAGAACGAAAGUUAGGGGAUCGAAGACGAUCAGAUACCGUCGUAGUCUUAACCAUAAACUAUGCCGACUAGGAAUCAGACUCUAGUUUUAUUUUUUAAUGUACGAGUUUUGG